rnacentral:rRNA from 1 species
AUAUCAGUCAUGCAUAGUAUAUCAAUAAGCGGAGGAAAAGAAACUAACAAGGAUUCCCCUAGUAACUGCGAGUGAAGCGGGAAGAGCUCAAAUUUGAAAUCUUAAAAGGUUUAUCCUUUUACGAAUUGUAGUUUAAAGAAGUGUUUUCUGUUGAAAUUUUAGUAAAAGUUCUUUGGAAUAGGACAUCAUAGAGGGUGAGAAUCCCGUAUUUGACUAGAAUUUUUCAACUUUGUGAUACACUUUCAAAGAGUCGGAUUGUUUGGGAAUGCAGUCCAAAAUGGGUGGUAAAUUUCAUCUAAAGCUAAAUAUUGGCGAGAGACCGAUAGCGAACAAGUACCGUGAGGGAAAGAUGAAAAGAACUUUGAAAAGAGAGUUAAAUAGUACGUGAAAUUGUCAAAAGGGAAGCGUUUGGCACCAGUGUUGUUUUUCUAAAAAUCAAUUUAAAAUUUGCUUAUGCUAAGUUUUUUAGACUUAAUCGGCUAAUAAUUUAGGUUUUUUGUAAUUUUUGAAUGCACUUUUUAGUUAACAAGUCAACAUCAAUUUCUUUUGUUGUAAAAGAAUAAGAGGAAGGUGGCUUGGAAUUCGUUUCAAGUGUUUAUAGCCUUUUAUUUCUGCAAUAGGAGGGAUUGAGGUCUGCAGCAUAGAUCCUUCGGGGCUAGAUGCAUUUUCGCUAAGAGUCAGUAUUAUAUAAACAACUUGUUGAUUAUGUAGUAUGUUGAUUUUUACUCGGGAGUGUUAUUUUACCUACGCUUAGGAUGUUGACGCAUGAGAUAUACGC